GCCGGCGGCUCUACCUCCCUCUCUCCCUCUCACUUCUCGCCCUCUUCCCUCAACUCUAUCUCACUCGAUCGUCUCUCUCUCACUGUUUUCCUCGCGAGCUCCGCCGUGAGCUGCUCCGGCGACCACAGGACAGCCAUGGCCGCCGCCCUUCUCUCCAUCUCACUCUCCAUCGUUGGCCGGACAGCAGCAGCAAAGCCGCCGUUGCCGGCGCCUCUCUCUGCUCACUCCUCUUCUCCCUUCCUCCCUCGGCCAUCUCCCUUUCUCUCGGACUCACGGUCACUGGGGCUACCUCCUCCGUCGUCCGUCUGGCUGGAAUCGCGGUGGAGGCCGAGCCUUGCCUCGCCGGAAAGGAACAGCCCGUUGCUCCCGCCGCCGUGUCGCCGCUGCCGAUGCCGCCGCAUCGUCGUCACCGGAGAAGAUGAGUCCUCCCUUCUCUCUCUCUCUCUUCCCCUUUUUCCCGUCUCUCUCUCUCUUUUAUUUUUUUUUAUUUUAAACUGAAAUCCUAACCAAUUCUCUCUCUACCCUCCUCUCUCUCAUUUUUGGCAGGACAAAGGCUAGGCGGUUACCGCCGCGCCGUCGCUGGCCAUGAGCAGCCGCCGGCUGCUCUCAUCCCCGUCACUCCGUUCCCGGACACACACACAAGACAGAGUACAAGAACCCCCAAAAUUUAAGUCCAGAUUCACAAGUAUAGCAAAGCUAGGGUUUUGUUUAGAAAUCUGUUCUUUCAUCAUUCAUUUAUCAUUUCCUUAGCAAAAAUCAAACCUUGUAAAUGUAAUAGCUUAGAAAAUAUUUUAACAUGUGUGCGUGCGUAUUCUUCUGUUGUUCUUUGAUGCUUGAUUUAGAAAUAACUAGAAAAAAAUAUAAAGAGAAAUUUGGAGUAACCUCGAUGUAGCUGGUAUUUGGUGUCUAGCUGGAAUCUGUGAAUUAUAAUUCAAGCAUAAGAACGUAUAGCUUGGAUCAGAAUGUUAGAAACUGAAAAUUAAUGGAGUAUUAAAGCAAGUUUUACCUCUUGAGGUUUACUGUAAGAGCUUUGAAUGAAGUCAAUCUCUUCUUUGGCUAUUGAAGAACUAAGGAGGAAUGGGAGGAAUGUUGGCUGCUGAUUUUGGUUAAAUAAAAGUAAGUUGCAUGUUGAGAUGUUAAAGGUGUAGAAGAUGGCUGGCAAAAGGAAUGGGCUGAUCUGGAGAAAGUGUAAAGAAUCUCUUUAUUUAGUGGAAUGGUUGGCAUAUGAUGAGUGUUUCCAACACCAUCAAUUUAUUUAAGAGUAAGAUGGAUGUGGAAAUGAAAAGUAUGUGUAGGUGCUAGAUGAAUGUGAUGAAUAAAAUCCUUAUUCUGUAUUUGUAAUACUAAUUUCGGGUUCCCAUAUAACGAAGCUUCGUUAUAACUCUCUAUAAAUUACAUAUUUUAUAACUCGUUUUAUAAGUCGAAAAUUAAUUACGACUUCAAGUAAAUAAUAGAAAUACUAUUUCUAUCGUAUAUAAAUUAAAUAACAUGACUUUGCUAAGUCAGUUAUAAUCCGAAAUAAUAAUUAUUGACUACUCAAUAAUCCUUUAAAUCUCAAACGGAUUCAAAUAAUAAUAAGAAUUUAGCACAUCAAAACACAUAUAUAACAAUUAAAUCACAUCAGAUAAAUCAAAUCAGUUUU